ACGGCCAUAUCACGUUGAAACACCGGUUCUCGUACAAUCACCAAAGUUAAGCAACGUCAAGCCUGUUCAGUACAUUGAUGGGUGUCUGCUUGGGAAUACCAGAUGCUGUAAG